rnacentral:rRNA from 1 species
AGAGUUUGAUCCUGGCUCAGGACGAACGCUGGCGGCGUGCCUAACACAUGCAAGUCGAGCGAUGAAGUUCCUUCGGGAAACGGAUUAGCGGCGGACGGGUGAGUAACACGUGGGUAACCUGCCUUAUAGUGGGGGAUAGCCUUUCGAAAGGAAGAUUAAUACCGCAUAAGAUUGUAGUAUCGCAUGAUAUAGCAAUUAAAGGAGCAAUCCGCUAUAAGAUGGACCCGCGUCGCAUUAGCUAGUUGGUGAGGUAAUGGCUCACCAAGGCGACGAUGCGUAGCCGACCUGAGAGGGUGAUCGGCCACAUUGGGACUGAGACACGGCCCAGACUCCUACGGGAGGCAGCAGUGGGGAAUAUUGCACAAUGGGCGAAAGCCUGAUGCAGCAACGCCGCGUGAGUGAUGACGGCCUUCGGGUUGUAAAACUCUGUCUUC